UACGGAGGUGGCAAGCGUUGCUCGGAAUCACUGGGCGUAAAGGGCGCGUAGGCGGGGCGGUAAGUCGGGUGUGAAAUCCCUCGGCCCAACCGAGGAACUGCGCCCGAGACUGCUUCUCUUGAGUCCCGGAGAGGAAGAUGGAAUUCCCGGUGUAGCGGUGAAAUGUGUAGAGAUCGGGAGGAACACCGGUGGCGAAGGCGGUCUUCUGGACGGUGACUGACGCUGAGGCGCGAAGGCGUGGGGAGCAAACGGG
rnacentral:rRNA from 1 species